rnacentral:rRNA from 1 species
GCAUGUCUAAGUAUAAACAAAUCUAUACUGUGAAACUGCGAAUGGCUCAUUAUAUCAGUUAUAGUUUAUUUGAUGGUUCUUGGUGGAGUGAUUUGUCUGGUUAAUUCCGUUAACGAACGAGACCCCCGCCUGCUAAAUAGUUGAGCGAAUGCCUAGCAUUGGCGUCAACUUCUUAGAGGGACUUUUGGUGACUAACCAAAGGAAGUUGGGGGCAAUAACAGGUCUGUGAUGCCCUUAGAUGUCCUGGGCCGCACGCGCGCUACAAUGAUACACGCAACGAGUCCACCUUGUCCGAAAGGUCCGGGUAAUCUUGUAAAUGUGUAUCGUACUAGGGAUAGAUUUUUGCAAUUCUGAAUCUUGAACGAGGAAUUCCUAGUAAAUGCGAGUCAUCAGCUCGCGUUGAUUACGUCCCUGCCCUUUGUACACACCGCCCGUCGCACCUACCGAUUGAAUGGUUCGGUGAAAAUCUCGGACUGCGGCUUGGAUGCCUUCGGGCAACCAGGCUGUGGAAAGUUGUUUAAACCUCAUCAUUUAGAGGAAGGUGAAGUCGUAACAAGGUUUCCGUAGGUGAACCUGCAGAAGGAUC